CUCCAUGAAGUCGGAAUCGCUAGUAAUCGUGGAUCAGAAUGCCACGGUGAAUACGUUCCCGGGCCUUGUACACACCGCCCGUCACACCAUGGGAGUGGGUUGCAAAAGAAGUAGGUAGCUUAACCUUCGGGAGGGCGCUUACCACUUUGUGAUUCAUGACUGGGGUGAAGUCGUAACAAGGUAACCGUAGGGGAACCUGCGGUUGGAUCACCUCCUUACCUGAAAGAAGC
rnacentral:rRNA from 1 species